rnacentral:rRNA from 1 species
AAUAGAUACCCAGGUAGUCCACGCCGUAAACGAUGUCGACUUGGAGGUUGUGCCCUUGAGGCGUGGCUUCCGGAGCUAACGCGUUAAGUCGACCGCCUGGGGAGUACGGCCGCAAGGUUAAAACUCAAAUGAAUUGACGGGGGCCCGCACAAGCGGUGGAGCAUGUGGUUUAAUUCGAUGCAACGCGAAGAACCUUACCUACUCUUGACAUCCACGGAAUUUAGCAGAGAUGCUUUAGUGCCUUCGGGAACCGUGAGACAGGUGCUGCAUGGCUGUCGUCAGCUCGUGUUGUGAAAUGUUGGGUUAAGUCCCGCAACGAGCGCAACCCUUAUCCUUUGUUGCCAGCGGUUAGGCCGGGAACUCAAAGGAGACUGCCAGUGAUAAACUGGAGGAAGGUGGGGAUGACGUCAAGUCAUCAUGGCCCUUACGAGUAGGGCUACACACGUGCUACAAUGGCAUAUACAAAGAGAAGCGACCUCGCGAGAGCAAGCGGACCUCAUAAAAGUAUGUCGUAGUCCGGAUUGGAGUCUGCAACG